rnacentral:tRNA from 4 species
GGCGGAGUAGCUCAGUGGUAGAGCAGGGGACUCAUAAGCCCUUGGUCGGUGGUUCAAAUCCGCCCUCCGCUACCA